AUUGAACGCUGGCGGAAUGCUUUACACAUGCAAGUCGAACGGUAGAGGGGGCAACCCCUUGAGAGUGGCGAACGGGUGAGUAAUAUAUCGGAACGUGCCCAGUCGUGGGGGAUAACGUAGCGAAAGUUACGCUAAUACCGCAUACGAUCUAAGGAUGAAAGCGGGGGACUCGCAAGAGCCUCGCGCGAUUGGAGCGGCCGAUAUCAGAUUAGGUAGUUGGUGGGGUAAAGGCUCACCAAGCCAACGAUCUGUAGCUGGUCUGAGAGGACGACCAGCCACACUGGAACUGAGACACGGUCCAGACUCCUACGGGAGGCAGCAGUGGGGAAUUUUGGACAAUGGACGCAAGUCUGAUCCAGCCAUUCCGCGUGCAGGAUGAAGGCCCUCGGGUUGUAAACUGCUUUUGUACGGAACGAAAAGGUUUGUCUUAAUACGAUGAGCUCAUGACGGUACCGUAAGAAUAAGCACCGGCUAACUACGUG
rnacentral:rRNA from 1 species